CCUACGGGUGGCAGCAGUGGGGAAUAUUGCACAAUGGGCGAAAGCCUGAUGCAGCAACGCCGCGUGAAGGAUGAAGGUCCUUGGAUUGUAAACUUCUGUCCAUAGGGAAGAAACAAAUGACGGUACCUAUGGAGGAAGCCCCGGCUAACUACGUGCCAGCAGCCGCGGUAAUACGUAGGGGGCAAGCGUUAUCCGGAAUUAUUGGGCGUAAAGCGUGCGUAGGCGGCUUUUUAAGCGUGGGGUUUAAGGCUAUGGCUCAACCAUAGUAUGCCCUGCGAACUGGAAGGCUUGAGUACAGGAGAGGAAAGCGGAAUUCCUAGUGUAGCGGUGAAAUGCGUAGAUAUUAGGAGGAACACCAGUGGCGAAGGCGGCUUUCUGGACUGAAACUGACGCUGAGGUACGAAAGCGUGGGGAGCAAACAGGAUUAGAUACCCUUGUAGUC
rnacentral:rRNA from 1 species